AAGAAACUGAAGGUGAGCCGAUGAGAGCAGAGCACGGCUAGCUAGCUGGAGGUGGGAGGAAAAGAGUUAGCCUGGAGCUAGAAACAAAGCUAGCUAGCUACCGUCUGUAACGUUAAUCAGAUACUGGUGUAACUACUGUAUGCUCUUAUUGUAAUCUACAAGCAAUACUGUAGUACCUGUAUUUGAAAUAAAUACCCGGUACAUUUACAGGGAUCAAACUGA